CACAAUAAACAUAUGAAGGCUGCACCGCCAACAGGCGGCAAGGCUGGAGUAUUUUAUUACCCUUGUCUUUUGCGCACUUGUUGUUUCCUGGGCGGGUUCGCCCGCCUCCAGGACCACAUGAUAAGCCUUUUUUAUGCAGUUGCAAUCAGCGUCAGUACAACAAAUGUAAAUCAUUUA
rnacentral:misc_RNA from 1 species